CCUACGGGGGGCUGCAGUGGGGAAUAUUGGACAAUGGGGGCAACCCUGAUCCAGCCAUGCCGCGUGUGUGAAGAAGGCCCUCGGGUUGUAAAGCACUUUCAGUGAGGAAGAACGCCUGGUGGUUAAUACCCAUCAGGAAAGACAUCACUCACAGAAGAAGCACCGGCUAACUCCGUGCCAGCAGCCGCGGUAAUACGGAGGGUGCGAGCGUUAAUCGGAAUUACUGGGCGUAAAGCGCGCGUAGGUGGCUUGAUAAGCCGGUUGUGAAAGCCCCGGGCUCAACCUGGGAACGGCAUCCGGAACUGUCAAGCUAGAGUGCAGGAGAGGAAGGUAGAAUUCCGGUGUAGCGGUGAAAUGCGUAGAGAUCGGGAGGAAUACCAGUGGCGAAGGCGGCCUUCUGGACUGACACUGACACUGAGGUGCGAAAGCGUGGGUAGCAAACAGGAUUAGAUACCCCUGUAGUC
rnacentral:rRNA from 1 species